CAAUGGGGGAAACCCUGAUGCAGCCAUGCCGCGUGUGUGAAGAAGGCCUUCGGGUUGUAAAGCACUUUCAGUUGUGAGGAAAAGUUAGUAGUUAAUACCUGCUAGCCGUGACGUUAACAACAGAAGAAGCACCGGCUAACUCCGUGCCAGCAGCCGCGGUAAUACGGAGGGUGCGAGCGUUAAUCGGAAUUACUGGGCGUAAAGCGCACGCAGGCGGUUUGUUAAGCUAGAUGUGAAAGCCCCGGGCUCAACCUGGGAUGGUCAUUUAGAACUGGCAGACUAGAGUCUUGGAGAGGGGAGUGGAAUUCCAGGUGUAGCGGUGAAAUGCGUAGAUAUCUGGAGGAACAUCAGUGGCGAAGGCGACUCCCUGGCCAAAGACUGACGCUCAUGUGCGAAAGUGUGGGUAGCGAACAGGAUUAGAUACCCUGGUAGUCCACACCGUAAACGCUGUCUACUAGCUGUGUGUGCCUUUAAGGCUGUGCGUAGCGAAGCUAACGCGAUAAGUAGACCGCCUGGG
rnacentral:rRNA from 1 species